AGGUCACUGCUAUCGAGGUCCGACUAAGCCAUGCGAGUCGAAUGCCGCAAGGCAUGGCGGACUGCUCAGUAACACGUGGAUAACCUACCCUUGGGUCGGGGAUAAACCCGGGAAACUGGGUAUAAUGCCCGAUAGAUCUGGAAGGCUGGAAUGCGUCCAGGUUCAAAGCUCCGGCGCCCAAGGAUGGGUCUGCGGCCUAUCAGGUUGUAGUGGGUGUAAUGUACCUACUAGCCUAAAACGGGUACGGGUUGUGAGAGCAAGAGCCCGGAGAUGGAUUCUGAGACACGAAUCCAGGCCCUACGGGGUGCAGCAGGCGCGAAACCUUUACAAUGCGGGCAACCGCGAUAAGGGGACCUCGAGUGCCGACAUCUAAUGUCGGCUGUCGUGAUGCCUAAAAAGCAUUAUAUAGCAAGGGCCGGGCAAGACCGGUGCCAGCCGCCGCGGUAACACCGGCGGCUCGAGUGGUGACCGCUAUUAUUGGGUUUAAAGGGUCUGUAGCCGGCCGGAUAAGUCUCUUGGGAAAUCUGGCCGCUUAACGGUCAGGCUUUCAGGAGAUACUGUCUGGCUCGAGGCCGGGAGAGGUGAGAGGUACUUCAGGGGUAGGGGUGAAAUCUUGUAAUCCUUGAAGGACCACCAGUGGCGAAGGCGUCUCACCAAAACGGACCUGACGGCAAGGGACGAAAGCUAGGGGCACGAACCGGAUUAGAUACCCGGGUAGUCCUAGCCGUAAACGAUACUCGCUAGGUGUCGGCCGCGGUGCGACCGUGGUCGGUGCCGUAGGGAAACCGUGAAGCGAGCCACCUGGGAAGUACGGCCGCAAGGCUGAAACUUAAAGGAAU
rnacentral:rRNA from 1 species